rnacentral:pre_miRNA from 1 species
AUAUUAUUUUUUCCGUCCAGAAAUAUCUGUCCUAAAAAUGGUUGUAUCUAGACUUAUUUUAGUUACAGAUACAUUCAUUUUAUCCAUUUCUAGGACAAGUAUUUUCGGACGGAGGGAGUAUAUC